rnacentral:rRNA from 1 species
CGGAGGAAAAGAAACUAACAAGGAUUCCCCUAGUAGCGGCGAGCGAAGCGGGAACAGCCCGGUGUGAAAAUCUCUUCGGAGAAUUGUAUUCGAGUGUUCCUUGGGUGGUCAGUGCGGGCAAGUCGCUUGGAAUGGCGCGCCAUGGAGGGUGAGAGCCCCGUCCAUCCCGCACAGGAUCCAUCCGCACAAGGACGCUUCAACCGAGUCGGGUAGCUUGGGAAUGCUGCUCUAAUUGGUGGUAAAUCUCAUCAAAGGCUAAAUAGUGGUGGGAGACCGAUAGCGAACAAGUACCGUGAGGGAAAGAUGGAAAGUACUUUGAAAAGAGAGUGAAAAGAACUUGAAACCGUCACGGGGGAAGCGAAUUGCGUGAGUGCUGGUGUCGCUUGUUCAGCGCCCCUUUUUUUUUUAAGCGGGCGUGCAUUCUGGCGGCACCUUGUCGUUGUGGCUGGCUGGCGUGUGAUUUUGACACGCUCGGCUGGUGAGGGCUCCCUUUUUUUCUAGGUGAGGACAACGACGAAAUGACGCAAUACGACCCGUCUUGAAACACGGACCAAGGAGUCUAGCACGGCUGCGAGUCGAAGGGUGUAAAACCCAAGGGCGCAGUGAAAGCGAAAUUAUAAGCAAGUUGGGGAGGCGUUGCGUUUUUAACAAAAUGUCCUACCUUGAGCACUUGUGCUGGGACCCGAAAGAUGGUGAACUAUGCCGGAGUAGGGCAAAGCCAGAGGAAACUCUGGUGGAGGCUCGUAGCGAUGCUGACGUGCAAAUCGCUCGUCGAACUUGGGUAUAGGGGCGAAAGACUAAUCGAACCAUCUAGUAGCUGGUUCCCUCCGAAGUUUCUCUCAGGAUAGCGGGCCGACAUUAUGUUGUUUUGUGCGGUAAAGCGAAUGAUUAGUGCAUUUGGGGUCCGAAGGACUUCAGGCGAUUCUCAAACUUUAAAUGCGCAAGGGGGUGGCUGCUUAAUUGAGCCUACUCUUCGAAAAACGUCGGCCCUGUGGGCCACUUUUGGUAAGCAGAACUGGCGAUAAGGGAUGAACCUUAAGCGCGGUUAAGGCGCCGCAUUGCCCGCUUAUAGACCCCACAAAAGGUGUUGAUUCAUUUAGACAGCAGGACGGUGGCCAUGGAAGUCGGAAUCCGCUAAGGAGUGUGUAACAACUCACCUGCCGAAUGAAUUAGCCCUGAAAAUGGAUGGCGCUCAAGCGGGCAGCCGACACCGCGCCGUUCCGGCGAGACGAUGCCGGGAUGAGUAGGAGGGCGUGGCGGUCAGUGACGCAGGCGAGGGUGCAGACCCCGCUGAAACGGCCGCUAGUGCAGAUCUUGGUGGUAGUAGCAAAUAUUCAAGCGAGAUCCUUGAAGGGCGAAGCGGGGAAGGGUUCCACGCAAACAUUGAUUGGGCGUGGGUGAGUCGUUCCUAAGCCGAGUGGCAAUUGCUAAGUAGCGGCGAAAGGGAAGCGGGUUAAAAUUCCCGCACACGGAUAUGGAGGCGGCGACGCAAGCAGAGCUGAAUACGCUGGCGAGGGCGCCGGGCAGAGUUAUCUUUUCUGUUUGACCGGCAUCGCGCAGUGUGGAAUCCGCUUAUCGGGAGAAACACGCGCGGGGAGGGGCAGAGCGUCAGGUCUUUUCUGGCGUCCGGCUCGCCCUCGACGGCCCCUGAAAAUUCAGCCGCGAACUUAAUUUCAUGCUGUGACGUACCGAUAACCGCAUCAGGUCCCCAAGGUGAACAGCCUCUGCUCAAUAUGAACAAUGCAGGUAAGGGAAGUCGGCAAAAUAGACCCGUAACUUUGGGAAAAGGGUUGGCUCUAGUGGAGCGGGGGUUUUCAAAGGGGGCUCACCUGUGCUUGCCGCUGGGCGAUUGUGGCUAGCUUUUAUGCUGGACGCUUUUGCUCGGUGUCUUGCGCGGGGGACGCUACUCGCCCUCAGCAUGCUCCAGACUAGAACUGCAACGGGCAAAGGGAAUCCGACUGUUUAAUUAAAACAAAGCAUUGCGAAGGCCGUGGCCGGUGAUGACGCAAU